CCCUAUGGGGUGCAGCAGGCGAGAAAACUUUGCAAUGUGCGAAAGCACGACAAGGUUAAUCCGAGUGGUUUCUGCUAAAGAAACCUUUUGUCAGUCCUAGAAACACUAACGAAUAAGGGGUGGGCAAGUUCUGGUGUCAGCCGCCGCGGUAAAACCAGCACCUCAAGUGGUCAGGAUGAUUAUUGGGCCUAAAGCAUCCGUAGCUCGUUUUGUAAGUUUUCGGUUAAAUCCAUGCGCUUAACGUAUGGGCUGCCGGGAAUACUGCAUAACUAGGAAGUGGGAGAGGUAGACGGUACUCGGUAGGAAGGGGUAAAAUCCUUUGAUCUAUUGAUGACCACCUGUGGCGAAGGCGGUCUACCAGAACACGUUCGACGGUGAGGGAUGAAAGCUGGGGGAGCAAACCGGAUUAGAUACCCGGGUAGUCCCAGCUGUAAACUAUGCAAACUCAGUGAUGCAUUGGCUUGUGGCCAAUGCAGUGCUGCAGGGAAGCCGUUAAGUUUGCCGCCUGGGAAGUACGUACGCAAGUAUGAAACUUAAAGGAAUUGGCGGGGGAGCACCACAAGGGGUGAAGCCUGCGGUUCAAUUGGAGUCAACGCCAGAAAUCUUACCCGGAGAGACAGCAGAAUGAAGGUCAAGCUGAAGACUUU
rnacentral:rRNA from 1 species